rnacentral:rRNA from 1 species
AACUGCACAAUGUGGGAAACCACGAUGCGGGAAACCCAAGUGCCAGCACUAUGUGUUGGCUGUCCUCAAGUGUUCGUAACUUGGGAAGAAAGUGCUGGGUAAGACGGGUGCCAGCCGCCGCGGUAAUACCCGCAGCACAAGUGGUGGUCAUUAUUAUUGGGCCUAAAGCGUCCGUAGCUGGCGUGUUAGAUGCCUGGGUAAAUCGAUGCGCUCAACGCAUCGAAUUCCGGUUAGACCGGCACGCUCGAGACCGGGAGAGGUGUGGGGUACUCGGGGGGUAGGGGUAAAAUCCUGUAAUCCUCCGGGGACGACCAGUGGCGAAGGCGCCACACUAGAACGGCUCUGACAGUGAGGGACGAAGCCCUGGGGCGCAAACCGGAUUAGAUACCCGGGUAGUCCAGGGUGUAAACGCUGCCGACUUGGUGUCGGGGAUCCUACGAGGGUUCCCGGUGCCGGAGAGAAGUUGUUGAGUCGGCCGCCUGGGGAGUACGGUCGCAAGACUGAAACUUAA